GAGACAGCAGUCGCCGCGGGAAUACAGAGGGUGCGAGCGUUAAUCGGAUUUACUGGGCGUAAAGCGUGCGUAGGCGGCUUCUUAAGUCGGAUGUGAAAUCCCUGAGCUUAACUUAGGAAUUGCAUUCGAUACUGGGAAGCUAGAGUAUGGGAGAGGAUGGUAGAAUUCCAGGUGUAGCGGUGAAAUGCGUAGAGAUCUGGAGGAAUACCGAUGGCGAAGGCAGCCAUCUGGCCUAAUACUGACGCUGAGGUACGAAAGCAUGGGGAGCAAACAGGAUUAGAUACCCGGGUAGUCCCUGUCUCUUAUAC
rnacentral:rRNA from 1 species